AGCAGUAGCCGCGGGAAUACGGAGGGUGCAAGCGUUAAUCGGAAUUACUGGGCGUAAAGCGCACGCAGGCGGUCUGACAAGUCAGAUGUCAAAUCCCCGGGCUUAACCUGGGAACUGCAUUUGAAACUGUCAGGCUGGAGUCUUGUAGAGGGGGGUGGAAUUCCAGGUGUAGCGGUGAAAUGCGUAGAGAUCUGGAGGAAUACCGGUGGCGAAGGCGGCCCCCUGGACAAAGACUGACGCUCAGGUGCGAAAGCGUGGGGAGCAAACAGGAUUAGAUACCCGGGUAGUCCCUGUCUCUUAUAC
rnacentral:rRNA from 1 species